rnacentral:ncRNA from 1 species
UACAGUAAAGGUGCCCGAAAGGGCCUAACAGAGAAGUCCGGUGAAAUACCGGCGCGGUCCCGCCGCUGUAAGGGGGAGCGAACUUCAGGAUGUCACUGAAACGUUAUGUUUUGGGAAGGCGAAGCGAGCUGCGAACCCGAGCCAGAAGAACUGCCUGUACUGG